UACGUAGGGUCCGAGCGUUGUCCGGAAUUAUUGGGCGUAAAGAGCUCGUAGGCGGUCUGUCACGUCGGCUGUGAAAACACGGGGCUCAACUCCGUGCCUGCAGUCGAUACCGGCAGACUAGAGUUCGGUAGGGGAGACUGGAAUUCCUGGUGUAGCGGUGAAAUGCGCAGAUAUCAGGAGGAACACCGGUGGCGAAGGCGGGUCUCUGGGCCGAAACUGACCCUGAGGAGCGAAAGCGUGGGGAGCGAACAGG
rnacentral:rRNA from 1 species